rnacentral:ncRNA from 1 species
GAACGCCGUGUGAUUGGAAACUAUCACGCACGGUGUGGAGUGGGGGAAAAGCCCGAGGCAUAAUAGCCAGAGGCUUACCUAUCACUAU